AUAAACUGUUGGGUUAGAAUCUAUAUUAGAAUCUUUCAAACUAAUUGAAAACAGGAAGACUAUCAUCUAAGUAGCCAGAUAAUCUGGGUUUCAAAAAGUUAUUCCAUGGUACUGGUUUAAAAAAUACUUUUCAAGUGUUUUAAUUUUUAAAGUGUAACUAAUUCUUCAAAUAUGUUAUGCUGUUAAAAUAUGUAUUCCAUAAGUACUUUUUGUAUAUGUAUUCUUAAAUUUUAAAAAGUCAACUGAAUGCGCAAAGAUGAUAUAAUUUUGGAUGUAGACAUUUAAACUAGAUUCCCAGUCCUCUCCUUCAAAAGCUUGGUCUUUGUUUUUCCUAUAGGGAAAAAAGUCAAAAUAAGUUCCAAAAACUAUCCUCAAAGUAGUAUUGUGCUUGUAGUAAAUGAAGGUUGGAUGGAUGGAUACUGACAAUGGUGGCAGGCAUUUCAAGCCUUUUAAAUUAGUACUUUUUGUCGUCUUGCUUAUUAAAAUUUUGUUAAUUUUAGCAAAGACCAAUUGUUGUGAUAAACUGGUGUUUUUUGGAUGCUUCAAGCACACGUUAACCAAUUUUUUAAUUCCCCUUUUGGUUCCUCCCAUUGUUCUAAAAUAGGACUUUCAUAUUAUUAAAACCUCAAAAGAUGAUCCACCCAGGAUGAACAAAGAUCACCAAGGGGAAAGAAAACAUUUUUUAUCUUUACAGAAAACAUGUUAAGAUUAUAUAUAGAUGUAUUCUUUACAUUGGAUAUUGUAUUAGAGUCCUCCUUACAAGAAAUGAAAUAGUUUUUAGCACUCUUAGCAUUAGAGUUCCUAGAUUGGUGUUGAUAGCUACAGUUUUAAAAUGUAUAACCUGAAAAUGAAGGUUAAUUUUGCAUUGUAAGAGCACAUUUGAUCUAUGUAAAAAGUGUCCAUUUGGUGUAUUUUUUUAAAAAAGAGAAAGCACUUUCAUAUUAAGUAGCAUGUGUAUGAAUUUAGAUUUUCAUAUUUGUUGUGUCUGUAUUCAGUGAAGUAAAUUGAGCAUUUAAAUGUUUGUUGAUGGCAACAUUAACUAUUAAAUUAAAGCACCUUAUACUCUGCUGCUUAACUUGCUUGUAAUUGCACCUUUGUUACCUGCACAUUUUCAUAUAGAAUAUUGUUGUAACAUUGCUUCAUGUGGGUCUGGAUGGAAGAUUAGUGGGCCUACAGGAUCAUUUAUUUAUAUUGUUUAUAUUACAAUAAUAUAUUGUAGAUCAGUUGUAAGUUCAUUUCUUUACAAAUAAAAGCCUCUUCCAUUUGA
rnacentral:lncRNA from 1 species